CCCUGCCCUGAAGGCUUCUAGCAGCGCAGGGAACUUGGGAGUACUCAUUCCUGUAAUAGCUGUGCUCACCCGACGACUGCCGCCCAUCAAAGAAGCUAAGCCUCGGUUACAGAAGCUCUUCCGAGACUUCUGGCUGUAUUCUGUUCUGAUGGGAUUCGCUGUGGAGGGCUCAGGACUCUGGCCAGAAGAAUGGUACGAGGGGGUCUGUGAAAUAGCCACUAAGUCCCCCUUGCUCACCUUUCCCAGCAAGGAGCCACUGAGGUCCGUCCUCCAGUAUAACUCAGCCAUGAAGAAUGACACGGUCACCCCCGCUGAGCUGAGUGAGCUCCGCAGCACCAUCAUCAACCUGCUGGACCCCCCUCCCGAGGUGUCCGCACUCAUCAACAAGCUGGACUUCGCCAUGUCCACCUACCUCCUCUCUGUGUACCGGCUGGAGUACAUGAGGUACACGUGCCUUCACCACCACACACAUGCACAUCCACAUUUGAGCAGGGUUUUCAUUUUUGUGCCCUGGUAAGCAUGAGACUUUUUCAACUUCUCCCAAGACAUGCAAACUUUCUGUAAAAUCAAGCAAAAACACCCUCUACUUUUCUCGUAUGCCCCUCCUUCAUGACCACCAGACGCCACGUCUAGUAACACCUCCCA
rnacentral:sRNA from 1 species